rnacentral:lncRNA from 1 species
CGGUCGCGGUCGCGUCAAGGUUUUCACGAUUUCGGUUGUAACGGAUGCUGCGUUACAGAUUGCGGUCGUCGCGGUGUGAAUUAAUCACAAAAUUGCACAGAUCUUAUAAAAAUUUCACAAAUCUUAUUUAAACAAAGUGCAUGCCAAAUUUGCUACAUUAAGUUAUAAGUUACAACAUAAGAAACUACUAAUACAUUUAAAAAGGUUUAUUGAAAACUUAUUGAUUACAUUACUAGUCACCACAUGGUAGAACGACGUGCAGGAUCAUAACUUCCAUUAUCACCUUCAUCAUUGUUAUUUCCACUUCUUCCAAAGACAUAAUCAAACAAUCCAGAACUUCUU